UGACUGCGUGUGUUGUGCAAUAAUUAUUAUUCCUUAAAAAACUCACAUGUCUUGUUUAAUUUUUCAGGAAGUAAGUUUCUCUUUAAUUCGGUAUAAGCUAUGUUUCUUCACCGCAGGGCUAUAAAGAAAUUUUCCUAGUUCUAUAAUUAUUUUACUAUGUAAUUAUAUGUAUAAAAAGCUAUGUAUACCAAAUAGUUAGUGACUCCGCAGUUGUAGAAUUUACUUACACUUAGUCGUGUAUUAUCAUAGACGAAAUGAUUCUGUGAGCCUAUAUUAGAAAUGUGAUGUAUUGUAAAUUGGGCCCGAACUGUGGAAUUUUGUAGAAGAUAAAUUUGGGCUAAGAUGAAAUAAAAUCUUGAGGUUUAUUUUUUUAGUAAUAUGGGCUGAAUAUUUGAAAUUUAUAUUGAGAUAGCAAAUUUUAGUGUUUCAGGCUUACUACGGGCCUCGGGAGCCUUAAGCUUACCUGGGCCCUAGUGCCGGUCCG
rnacentral:lncRNA from 1 species